rnacentral:rRNA from 1 species
GUUAGGAAUAUUGGACAAUGGGCGCAAGCCUGAUCCAGCCAUGCCGCGUGAGUGAUGAAGGCCUUCGGGUUGUAAAGCUCUUUAGUCCACGAAUAUAAUGACUGUAGUGGAAGAAUAAGCCCCGGCUAACUUCGUGCCAGCAGCCGCGGUAAUACGAAGGGGGCGAGCGUUAUUCGGAAUCACUGGGCGUAAAGCGUGCGUAGGCUGUUUUGUAAGUCAGAAGUGAAAGCCCAGGGCUUAACCCUGGAAUUGCUUUUGAAACUACAAGACGCGAAUUCGUGAGAGGAUAGCGGAAUUGUCAGUGUAGCAGUGAAAUGCGUAGAUAUUGACAGGAACACCAGUGGCGCAAGCGGCUAUCUGGACCGAUAUUGACGCUGAGGCACGAAAGCGUGGGGAGCAAACAGGAUUAGAAACCCCGGUAGUCC